ensembl:lncRNA
GGCCCGAGCCAGAGAAAGCCAGGGGGAGGGGGGGGGGACCGAAGCUCGGCGGGCCGCGCUCUCUCCUCCACUCGCCCCCUCACUCCAUCCCGGGCAGCGCCGCCGUCGCCCGAGCCGAGUCACGGCGCGGGGGCUGCCGGGAGCUGUAGUGCGGCGGGGCCGCGGGCGGAGCCAUGGGCCGGGAGCCGGGCUGCCGCGCGCCCAGCGGCGGGAAGGGGCUGACGGGGUCAGCGCCCAACGGCCCCGCCCACACGGCGCACCUCGGGCGGGCGGAGCGGGGAGCGGCGCCGUACGUCAGGUGUGGGCCGGCUAAUGAGCCGUACCUUCAUCUCCUGGCUGCUCCUGUACCUCACGUCCCGGCGGUGGGAGCUGGUGGAUCAGCCGCCCCUGUGAGGGCCCAGGUGUGCCACAGCCCGACCCAGAGCUGUGUGGACUGAUGCCCGCUGUAGCUGAGGGGUCAGGACCGUAAAGCCCUGCGAGGAGCCGAGCCGGCUCCAUGGCGCUGUGCGUGGCAAUAACACGCUGCAGUCCGCGGGCGGAAAGAAGUGUCCGGUGCUUGAGAUCAGUCGAGAAGGCUGAGAGAAAAGAUGCACUUGUCGCUAAUGGGGCUGUGAGCUGAUGCUCCUCCAGAACCACUUACACAAGUUGGUCACGGAAACAGAAGCUGCUAAAGGGUGGCUAGGAACAACUGCGAGCCCGAGUGAGGUCACACGGGGACUGGAGGCUUCUCAGAAGUGGAGGAGAGGUGAAAUGCAGCCCGCUGAAAAGAGACACAAAUUAAUCCAGAAGUUAGACAGGAAGCUGUGCCUCAUUGGAGCUGGCAAACGGGAACAAACAGCAAAAGCCUCAAGACAUGUAAGAUGGGAGAAGGAACUGACGUGAAGAAAACUGAACCCAACAAACAGUGAGCAAAUCAAGAUUGCUCUACACAAGCAUCCCCAAAUCAUGGGGCAAGUAGCAGGGCAGCAAUCCUGGAGCCGGCUUACUGUGGGGGUCAUAUGGGCUUAACUUCUGAUUGAGGAGAACCAAGAGGAAAACGAACCCUUCAGAAUCAGAAACUUUAUCCCUCUGAUGUUUAAAAGACCUUGUAUUUGACAGGACAGCUUUGAAGAUAAAGACCGAAGCACUCUCCAGCUACAGGCUGUUCAACACCCCACACUGCUACGUGCUAUGUGCACUUUACUUCAGUUUCACAGAGUUCAGUCAUAUUAGAAAGAAGAUAGUGGAGACAUUUUUAAGUAUAUUGUACUAUAUUUUUGAGGCUUCUGUACCUUGCCCAAGCUCUCUUUACAGAGCCUGGGAGAGCUCAGUUCCAUUCUACACAUUACUAUCGUAGUUCCUUCCCACUGUACUGUCUCAUACUGGCCUGUUGCUCUUGGCUGGCCAAUGUGCAAAUUGGUUAACAAAAAUAUGCUGGCACCCCUGACAUUUGAGAUAUCUCUAAACGAAGGGGCUACCACUAAGGACAAGAGAGGGAGGACAAGGAGAGACUUCUGUUUCUUAACAUGCAAUAUCCUUUUUUUGUUUCUUUGUUUUUUCUCCCGCAUAGGAGAAUUCUAUCCCAGGGAUUACAGUUAGCAAGGACUAGGACCAAUAUAUGCCCUACUAAGACCCUAUUUUGACACUAUUCCCAUUCCCAUUGUGGGCUUAGAGGAUGGGGAGAGGAAAAAAAAAAAAAAUGGAUAAUGCAAUCCAUAAGAUCACAAAGCCUGUAAGAGAAUACUUUGUUCUUCUUAAAGUGAUCUUCUUAUAUUACUGCUUCUUUUUUAACAUUUUAAAGAUUACACAAUGUCCCGAUGAAAGCUGUUAUUGAAAGAAGUGUUCAUUAUGAUUAAGUAGUCAUUUUGAGUUUGUUUGUUGCUCUACCUUAUUUUGGAAUUCAUCACCAUAUAGUCCUCAAAAGACAGAAUUUCAGGGGCGGUACGAAUGUUUUUCAGCUAACAAUAUGCCUCAUAGAUUUAAGAGACUUAAAUAUCAUUUUUUAGCAAAUGCCUGGGGGAGAAAAAAAAAAAGAAAAAAAAAAUAGCUAAAUGAAAAAUAAUUCCUGUCCUAUGGGUGCAGUGGAAAAAAACAAUUAAACAUCACUGAAUUCAUUUUUACUAGCAUGAAGUAAAUAAAGGGAGAAGGAGGUGCA